CUAAGAGGCACAUACUUUGUCUUUAAUUUUCCUCCAGGGAAGCUGGCCAACCAUGAAUUCAACCAGCAUGUAGAAGAGGGACCAGAGGUCAUCAUGACGGCCCAUUUCCUACAGAUUAAGAUACACAAGUGGGGAAAGCAUCACUCACCCUGAAGCUUUUUCAGCACAGCCACCUCCAUCUUCAGCACCUGUUUGGGUUGUUGAGCAGACUCCACCUUUAAGGCAACAGUGGCCUGGCUCAACUGAUCCAAAACCUCAUAGAUCUCCCCAAACCCACCUCCACCUAUCUUCCUCACCUAAAAAGAAGCGACACUUACCACUUUCCAUCUGUCUCUGACCACGUCUGCCACUGACAGGAUGUCUGUGUGCUCUCCAGCCCCACUCAUCCUGAGUGCUCUCAGCUACAGCCUGCACCUGGCAUCAGUGACGCACGCCCCUCACUGAAAACAGGGGAACAGAUUUUAAAAUCAAUUUCCUCUUUGAUAAUCACUGCAUGCUACUGAGCAGCGACGGAAAAGAGGAACCAUUAGUUGAUACUGGUUAACGUUACAUGUUGUUGUGCCUGACAGAGAAAUGCGGAGAAUACCAUUUAAACGGCUACAAAGGUUAGCUACACCUCACGUCUUCAAGAUUCACGUAAGACGCUAACCACUGCUAGAUGGUAAUGGAAAGAUAGCAGCUAGCAUUGUCUGGUUUGUUGACUCUGUGCCAAAACACAACAAUCGACUAGCGCAACGGCAGUCGCUGGUCUUAAAUGGCCAUAAACCUGUAGUUUGAGAUGAUUAGCCGUUAGGAAGCUAAUCUAGCAAAGUACGGUUUUCAAUGCGGCGGCUCCGGUGGUCCUGUAAACAAGCUAACUAGCAUGUUUACUAAAGAUAACCGUUAGGGAGCAAACCUCUCCGAUCUCUUACCUCGCUUCGUUGCACCAUUGCGAUCCCAGUUAGUGUGUAAAAUCCAAACAGUCCCCAUGCUUCCAAUCUGUUGUUAGUUAGCCAGGUCAUUCCCAGAAGGUGUUUAUUUUACAAAUGAGAUCAUGGUGAUGGACCAUAGCUGACGUUAGCUGACGUUAGCUACAGUUAGCCAGCUAGCCUGCUAAUGAAUGGGCAGUGAUGCCCCCGCGCUCUCUCAUAGCAGCGGCGGUGACGUCACAGCGCCAGUCUCUCCUGAUUGAUCCGCAAACUCCCGCAUCCCUGAGCCACUGUGGAGCAGCACUGCACAUAACACGAUGCACAGAGUGAGAGGCCCUGACAGCGGACAAGGGAAGGAACACUGCAUCACCAGCAUUGAUAGGUCACCAUUCAAACUGAUAAGUUAUGAUCACGAUUGUCGAAAAAUAAAGCAGGAACAUCAGAGUAGGAGAGGUUUAUCAGGGAAUUCAGGUGCCCCUGACAAUACAUUGAUAACCCUUCACCCCCCUCCACCCCCUUUCACUACCACCAUCCAACAGUGGUGGAAGAAGUACUCCGAUCUUUUAUUUAAAGAGCAACCAAUGAAUCAUUUGCCUCAUUUCCACUGCAUGGUACUGGACUCGCUUAGAACCUUUCUUUGGCUUUCCAUUGGCAAAAGUUGUGGAUUGUAUCUGGUACCUUGUACUUUUUUGGUGUGACCUUGGUCAAACUGAGCCUAAAAGGUGGAGUUAAAACACUGCAGACCACUGAUUGGUCAGAGAGAAUCGUCACACGGGACAUCGUGCACAAACCCGCCAUUUUUAAAUUUUCAAAAGUAUAUAUACAUAUAUAGUAUACUUUAUAUACACUACAGUAACAUCUGAAGUUGUUUCUGUAAGAGAGUUUUAUGUCCGCCUCAAAAUAGACGAAUUGGACGUGACGUCACAUAAGGGGGAGCGGCCAAGUUAGGUCAAGUUUAACAUUAAUACAUAUGGAUCCCAAUUUUGACACUGAAGAGGUUGUAAAUGUAUAUUCAUACGCAUAUGACGGACCACAGCCUUACUGUUUAAUUAGGAGCCUGCUAGGCGUCCAAGAGACCAGGAACAGACAAGGAUUAGAAGAAAUAACAGCCAUUGGCGAGAAAUUGAGUUGUGCAAACCAGUGGAGUACUGGGCAGGUGUCUUGGCGACCAUGACGAAAAAUGGUGAAAUGCAAUGUAAAACUACCAAAAUCAGACUCACUACCACCAACCACUGCACGUUGAACGGAGUGUGUGGUCAGGGAAACUGACUCCCUUAUAAGAGCAUUGCUCAAAACGGCUACUUUUUCUUCUGAAUUUCCGUCCUUAUGUCUUGGAAAACAUAUUAAAUCCUACAUUAACUUUCCAAAUGAUCAUUUCCAGGAAAACAUUAUGUAUACAUUUUGUAAAAAAUUCAACCUGCAAGUUGCUCUUUAAGUAAAAAUAGCAAUACCACUUUGUAGAAAUACUCUUAAAGUACAAAAAGUAAAAGUACUCAUCAUACAGAAUGGCCCAUUUCAGAAAAAUCUAUAUUAUAUUAUUGAAUUAUAAUUAUCAAUGCAUUAAUAUGUACAUUACUUUAAUGUUGCAGCUGUUAAAGGUGGAGCUUAUUUCUAUAUAUUGCUGGGUAGCUUGUGACUUUCACCAGGGGAUCAAUAAAGUUUUAUCUUUAUCUAUUA